rnacentral:lncRNA from 12 species
CACAGAAAAGAUUUUUAAUGUUUUUGUUUCAAGGACAAUCACAGGAUAUUUAAAAUUUCUGGUGCUGAAAGCUACAUUAGGACCUCAACAUUGAGUAAUCAAUAUCCCCCCAAUCUAAACUGUGAAAUUACUAUUUCCCCAAGGAGAAAAUUUUCGGGAUUUGCAACUCAUCUCAAAACCUCAGUAAAAUGAAAACAGCAGAAUUUCCCUAAGAUGCCAUUGUGUUCUAUUACCCUUCAAACACUCAUGAAAAUAGACUUGCUUUCACUAGGACAGCUGUUAAUGAAAAUCUGGGGUAAAACCUAUAAGAAAUGGCAAUAUACAUGAAUGUUCCUUUCCACAGCAGGCACAAUCAAACACUCCUUUAAAUGGCCUGAAAGUUGAGUGGCACUCAUUGGCACAGCCUCUUCUCCACAUACAGGAGAGUGACCAAGGCAGUGCCAGCCUUCUCAGAGAUGGGUAAGGACAAGAAAGGGUUUGAAGCUGUGCCAAGAGAGGUUUACACUGGACAUUAGGAGGAACUUCUGCCCAGAAAGGGGCGUUAGAUAUGGGAAUGAUGUGCCCCAGGGGGCACUGGUGGAGUCAUCACUGUGGGAGGUGCUCAAGAGAAGCCUGGCCACAGCACUCCAGGCUCAGAUCUGCUUGCCAUGUGGCCAUGGAUCACAGGCUGGACUCGAUCUCUCAGGACUCUUCCAAGCCAGUGCAUCUGUGACAUCACAGCCUCUGGGGACAGCAUGGUGCCUGGCAACUGUCCCCAGCCAUCACUGUGCCCCACAGCCUGGGCAGACCUCAGCGAGGAGCGACGUCCAGAGCCUGUGUGGUGGUGGCAGCUCAUUGCACAGAGCACCAUGGCCGGCCAGGUCUCCUCCUGGCUCCUGCAGUUUUACCUGCUGCUGCUCCUGGUCCGUCCUCUCGACCCGUCCAGCCAUCCUGGGCAGGGCACGGGCACCUGGGGCCUGCAUCCCCAGGAGCUGGAGCUGCAGGACAUGGACCCUGAGCCAACCCCAUGGGUGAACAUGACACGGCUGUCCUGGACAUGCUUGCUGGUGGAGCUGCUGAUCACAGGCAUUGUCCUGGGAUGCUAUCUUUACAGAAGGCUCUGGAGACGCUGGAGAGAGGAGAAGCACCAGAGCCCCCGGAGCUGCUGCCCGGGACAAGGCUGUCCCACAAAGCUGAUCCAGCUGCUGAGGCACAACCGUGCCAUGCUGCAGCUGUGCCUGCACCACUGUUCCCAGCAGAGGGCCAAGGCCAAGAGAGCAGCACAAGGGGCUGGCUGGAAGAGGAGGAGAUCACAAACCUUUCCUCCAGCUUCAGAACUGCAUACAGAGCAUUGCAGGGAAUGUGUGACCAGUGCCCAGCCCGGGCACUGCGACAUUCCCCAUCUUAGGCGUUAGAGAUACCCCAUUCUUAGCUGUAGCAUCCCCCACCACCUUUUCCACAAGAAGCUGACAUUUUCCUUAGUGCUCUGGUUCUAAAAGUUGAAGUAAUUUAGGCAUUAGAGGCACCCCAUUCUUAGUUGUAGCAUUCCCCACCACAACGUUCCCCAUCUUAGGCGUUAGAGAUAACCCAUUCUUAGCUGUAGCAUCCCCCAACACCUUUUCCACAAGAAGCUGACAUUUUCCUUAGUGUUCUGGUUCUAAAAGUCGAAGUAAUUUAGGCAUUAGAAGUACCCCAUUCUUAGUUGUAGCAUUCCCCACCACCUUUUCCACAAGAAGUUGGCAUUUCCCUUAGUGUUCUGGCUCUAAAAGUUGAAGUAUUUUAGGCAUAAGGUUCUUACCCCGUAGUCGUCUAGUCACUCUGUAUUGUAGAUUUUGGGAGUAGUAAAGUGAAUGAAGUUCAUGUUCUCUACACGUCCUGUGUUGUUUGGUUGAUAUUCCAUCCGAGAGGGGACACAGAUUGCUGGGUUUGACCAGGAGCUCCAGACUGCCUGUAAUGGAGAGCCUGAGUGCACCAGCAGCAUUUGCAAGAGUAUGGAGGGCGGCUGGAAAGAAGAUGGUGGGCAAUAUUCUCCUGCCUCCAUCUUCCAAGGAAGCUUGGAGUCAAUUCCUAUCUGCG